ensembl:lincRNA
AGAACCUAUAGAAUGAAUGGCCAUGAAUGAAUCAAUGGCCUGGGCAUUAUAUUCAGUAGACUAGAUCUCAGAAAGGAAAAAGGAGCAGCAUAAAAUACGGCCUUGGUCCAACAUUUUGACCACAGAGCAAAGUUAAAGAGGACCAGAGGAAACAUCUCCUUCAGUGGUGGAAGUAGUUUCAGCAGACACAAGAUAACCAAAAGUAUGACAUGCUGGGGACAUGAAAGACAUUUUAAAGGUCUCUGAGACUUGAUCAAUGACCACUUUCUUGGAGAGCCCCACACGGUGUAAUUUAUGCAAAUCCUGUGAAGCGGAGUCAUCUAUCUGCUCAGACAUGCAGAAAUCUUUCAGGAGAAGGGUGGGAGAUUUUUGGAGGAAAAGAAGUACCAGUGGCCAGGAAAGGAAUUACCUUAAGAAGGUAAUAUGUUGAUGGGAGGAGCAGAUGCCCUGGAGUAAAACUGUUUUCCAGAAGUUUCCUGUCCUAGUGUCCAACUGGAUAAUGAUGAGCAAUCCUUGAACUCCAUCAUGUGCCUCGUGGAAUAGAGUGUAUUGUAAAAAUGCAGCUCAGCAAAUGUCUCUCUUCAAAAAGUGGCUUUAAAACCUAGGACAUAUUUAGCCUACUCAGGGAAAAGAAACAAAAUAAAGCAUUCUAUAGCAGCCUUAUGACCCAUUGCUAAAGGAACCCAAAUCCACCAGCACAAGACACAGGAGUCAUUAUGAGGCAAACAGCAGUUAACCUGUGAGCUCUGAAGUCCUCUAGAGGCUGUGUGUGUGCAGUUGCCAUGGGCUGUGGAUGACCCAGGGUGUUGAGUGCCUGUUCAUUGCUCAACCUCUCAUCCUACAUCUCAUCAGUAAUGGAAUAAGUAGGCGAAAUCCUAUCAUCAAAAAUAAAACUCCUAGCCAGGUACGGUGGCCUAUGCCCGUAAUCCCAGCAUUUUGGGAGGCCAAAGCAGGAGGAGUGCUUGACUGCAAGAGUUCAAGACCAGCCUGGGAAACAUAGCGAGACUCUGUCUCUACAAAAAAAUAAAAAAUUAGCCAGGUUUGGUUGCACACACCUGUAGUCCCAGCUACUUGAGAGGCUGAGGCAGGAGGGGUGCUUAAGCCCAGGAGGUUGAGGUUGCAAUGAGCCCUGACCACACCAUUGCACUCCAACCUGCGUGUCAGAGCGAGAUCCUGUCUCAAAACAAAACAAAACCAAACAAAAAACUCUUAAAAAAGCCAUUUGUGAUUAUGAUGGUGUUGUAUUUCAUAGAAGAGAUGUUGUUGAGAUAAAAUUUUUUAUAAGUAGGAAAAAAUGCAAUCCCUAUUUUGGAGAAUUGUCACCCUUGCGUUCCCUGUGAGAAAAUAAAUGAAGUUCAAUGGGCUUUAUUAACCUCCUCUAUUAGGGCUGAGAUGUCUUUUUUUUCUCAACACCGAAAACCUCAGGCAUAAUCUUAAGAAGUCACUGAUGAAAUUGCACUUCAGAUACAAAAGAUUCUGUUAGACCAGUUCACUUUUUUCUCUUUUCAUUCAUUGCAGAGGGUCAGAACUAGAGGUGGUGGAGUGAACGCCGCACCAGGCAAUGGAAGAAGCACUGGCCUAGACCAAACUUAAGCGUGCACCACCAUCACCUGGAGGGCUUGUUCCAACACGGAUGGCUGGACCCACCCCCAGAAUUUCAGAUUUAUUAGGUCUGCACUGGGCCCUGAGAAUGUUUAUUUAAAACAAAUUCCUGGAUGCUACUGGUUCAGUUGCCACACUCUGAGACCCGCUGGCCUUGAGCUUAGAAGAUGUGGGUUUGAUUCCUGGAUUCCACAGUUUACUAGCUGUGAGUUAGAGAAUUUAAAUUACUUACCUGAGUCUUGGUUUCUUAUUUGCAAACUGAACUGUAAACUAUCUGUUCUACCCAUUUUAUAAGACUUUUGUAAGGAUAAAAUAAAAGAAUACAUAUGCAA